CGCAAGGAUGAGAAAAACCAGGUGACCAGUUCCAACUACAGUGCCCCCUUGCAACUGAUGGUCACAGGUGUGGCCCCUUCACAGUGUGGGCAGGGGAAAGGGCUCAAGUGGAGGAUAUCCGGCAUUUAGUAGAUUAUUCCUCCCCCACCCGGCCAUAUCAGGCUUGUUUGUAACAUUUUCUGCCCCCAAAGCUGUGCUUUCAAUAGGAAAACAGCUGUGUUCUGUACUAGAAUCAGCUAACUCGAGGUAAAACUGCAGUGAAGACAGGACAGUUUGGAGAUGUCACGUGUUAGCAGGCCGAGUUUUGGCUACAGGGGAGCCAGGAGCCAGACAUGCAAAGGUAUUCAUGGUAGAUGCAGACCCCAAUUUAACUCAUUCCUAGCUAAGACACUGUGAUAUUUCUUGUGUUUAUUGACCAGACAGAAAGGCUCUCCUCGAUGGCAGCAGAGUCACUGACCAGCCUGAGAAAACUCCACCUCACAAAGGCCAGAAGCUGAUCGCAAGCACCAGCCUCAGCCCUGAGGAUCCACCGUCUCAGGCAGGUGCUGGGGUUACAGGCCAGGAGUUCUGCAACUCCCCAGGUGAAUGUGUGAGCACAAGACAUGGGA